AGUGAACGCUGGCGGUAGACCUAACACAUGCAAGUCGAACGGCAGCACAGUAAGAGCUUGCUCUUACGGGUGGCGAGUGGCGGACGGGUGAGGAAUGCAUCGGAAUCUACUUUUUCGUGGGGGAUAACGUAGGGAAACUUACGCUAAUACCGCAUACGACCUACGGGUGAAAGCAGGGGAUCUUCGGACCUUGCGCGAUUGAAUGAGCCGAUGUCGGAUUAGCUAGUUGGCGGGGUAAAGGCCCACCAAGGCGACGAUCCGUAGCUGGUCUGAGAGGAUGAUCAGCCACACUGGAACUGAGACACGGUCCAGACUCCUACGGGAGGCAGCAGUGGGGAAUAUUGGACAAUGGGCCCAAGCCUGAUCCAGCCAUACCGCGUGGGUGAAGAAGGCCUUCGGGUUGUAAAGCCCUUUUGUUGGGAAAGAAAAGCAGCAGGUUAAUACCCCGCUGUUCUGACGGUACCCAAAGAAUAAGCACCGGCUAACUUCGUG
rnacentral:rRNA from 1 species